rnacentral:misc_RNA from 1 species
GAAAUGCGAUAAGUAGUGUGAAUUGCAGAAUUCAGUGAAUCAUCGAAUCUUUGAACGCACAUUGCGCCCUUUGGUAUUCCAAAGGGCAUGCCUGUUCGAGCGUCAUUUGUACCCUCAAGCUUUGCUUGGUGUUGGGCGUCUUGUCUCCAGUUCGCUGGAGACUCGCCUUAAAGUAAUUGGCAGCCGGCCUACUGGUUUCGGAGCGCGGCACAAGUCGCGCUCUCUUCCAGCCAAGGUCAGCAUCCACAAAGCCUUUUUUCAACUUUUGACCUCGGAUCAGGUAGGGAUACCCGCUGAACUUAAGC